rnacentral:rRNA from 1 species
UACGGAGGGGGCUAGCGUUGUUCGGAAUUACUGGGCGUAAAGGGCGCGUAGGCGGCGAACCAAGUCAGAUGUGAAAGUCCUGGGCUUAACCUGGGGACUGCAUUUGAUACUGAUUUGCUUGAAUUCGGGAGAGGAUAGCGGAAUUCCCAGUGUAGAGGUGAAAUUCGUAGAUAUUGGGAAGAACACCGGUGGCGAAGGCGGCGCUCUGGACCGAGACUGACGCUGAGGCGCGAAAGCGUGGGGAGCAAACAGG